rnacentral:rRNA from 1 species
UUCGGAAUCUUGAGAGCGGCGUACGGGUGCGGAACACGUGUGCAACCUGCCUUUAUCAGGGAGAUAGCCUUUCGAAAGGAAGAUUAAUACCCCAUAAUAUAUUAAGUGGCAUCACUUGAUAUUGAAAACUACGGUGGAUAGAGAUGGGCACGCGCAAGAUUAGAUAGUUGGUGAGGUAACGGCUCACCAAGUCUACGAUCUUUAGGGGGCCUGAGAGGGUGAUCCCCCACACUGGUACUGAGACACGGACCAGACUCCUACGGGAGGCAGCAGUGAGGAAUAUUGGACAAUGGGUGAAAGCCUGAUCCAGCCAUCCCGCGUGAAGGACGACGGCCCUAUGGGUUGUAAACUUCUUUUGUAUAGGGAUAAACCUAGAUACGUGUAUCUAGCUGAAGGUACUAUACGAAUAAGCACCGGCUAACUCCGUGCCAGCAGCCGCGGUAAUACGGAGGGUGCAAGCGUUAUCCGGAUUUAUUGGGUUUAAAGGGUCCGUAGGCGGAUCUGUAAGUCAGUGGUGAAAUCUCACAGCUUAACUGUGAAACUGCCAUUGAUACUGCAGGUCUUGAGUGUUGUUGAAGUAGCUGGAAUAAGUAGUGUAGCGGUGAAAUGCAUAGAUAUUACUUAGAACACCAAUUGCGAAGGCAGGUUACUAAGCAACAACUGACGCUGAUGGACGAAAGCGUGGGGAGCGAACAGGAUUAGAUACCCUGGUAGUCCACGCCGUAACGAUGCUAACUCGUUUUUGGAUUUUCGGAUUCAGAGACUAAGCGAAAGUGAUAAGUUAGCCACCUGGGGGGAGUACGUUCGCAAGAAUGAAACUCAAAGGAAUUGACGGGGGCCCGCACAAGCGGUGGAUUAUGUGGUUUAAUUCGAUGAUACGCGAGGAACCUUACCAAGGCUUAAAUGGGAAAUGACAGGUUUAGAAAUAGACUUUUCUUCGGACAUUUUUCAAGGUGCUGCGAUGGCUUGUCCCAGCUCGUGCCGUGAGGUGUUAGGUUAAGUCCUGCAACGAGCGCAACCCCUGUCACUAGUUGCCAUCAUUAAGUUGGGGACUCUAGUGAGACUGCCUACGCAAGUAGAGAGGAAGGUGGGGAUGACGUCAAAUCAUCACGGCCCUUACGCCUUGGGCCACACACGUAAUACAAUGGCCAGUACAGAGGGCAGCUACACAGCGAUGUGAUGCAAAUCUCGAAAGCUGGUCUCAGUUCGGAUUGGAGUCUGCAACUCGACUCUAUGAAGCUGGAAUCGCUAGUAAUCGCGCAUCAGCCAUGGCGCGGUGAAUACGUUCCCGGGCCUUGUACACACCGCCCGUCAAGCCAUGGAAGUCUGGGGUACCUGAAGUCGGUGACCGUAACAGGAG